UACGUAGGGGGCAAGCGUUGUCCGGAUUUAUUGGGCGUAAAGAGCGUGUAGGCGGCCAAACAGGUCAGCUGUGAAAACUCGAGGCUCAACCUCGAGACGUCGGUUGAAACCGUUUGGCUAGAGUCCGGAAGAGGAGAGUGGAAUUCCCGGUGUAGCGGUGAAAUGCGCAGAUAUCGGGAAGAACACCCGUGGCGAAGGCGGCUCUCUGGGACGGUACUGACACUGAGAAGCGAAAGCAUGGGGAGCGAACAGG
rnacentral:rRNA from 1 species